CCUACGGGUGGCAGCAGUAGGGAAUAUUGCUCAAUGGGGGAAACCCUGAAGCAGCAACGCCGCGUGAAGGAUGAAGGUUUUAGGAUUGUAAACUCCUUUUGUGAGAGAAGAUAAUGACGGUAUCCCACGAAUAAGCACCGGCUAACUCCGUGCCAGCAGCCGCGGUAAUACGGGGGGUGCAAGCGUUGUUCCGAAUCACUGGGCGUAAAGAGUGCGGAGGCGGGCUUGUAAGUCAGAUGUGAAAACCUGUAGCUUAACCUCAGAAAUGCAAUUGAAACUAGAAGUCUAGAGUGUGGGAGAGGCAGGUGGAAUUCUUGGUGUAGGGGUGAAAUGCGUAGAUAUCAAGAGGAAUACUAGUGGCGAAGGCGACCUACUGGAACAUAACUGACGCUCAGGCACGAAAGCGUGGGGAGCAAACAGGAUUAGAUACCCUAGUAGUC
rnacentral:rRNA from 1 species